GAUGAACGCUGGCGGCGUGCUUAACACAUGCAAGUCGAGCGAGAAGUUUUGAAAAGAUUCUUCGGAUGAAAUUUAAAAUGGAAAGCGGCGGACGGGUGAGUAACGCGUAGGCAACCUGCCCCAUACAAAGGGAUAGCAUUUGGAAACGAAUAUUAAUACCUUAUGAAACUUAACUAGUGCAUGCUAGGUAGGUCAAAGAUUUAUCGGUAUGGGAUGGGCCUGCGUCUGAUUAGCUAGUUGGUGAGGUAACGGCUCACCAAGGCGACGAUCAGUAGCCGACCUGGGAGGGUGAACGGCCACAUUGGAACUGAGGCACGGUCCAAACUCCUGCGGGAGGCGGCAGGGGUGAUAAUUGAACAAUGGGGGAAACCCUGAUGCAGCAACGCCGCGUGAACGAUGAAGGCCUUUGGGUCGUAAAGUUCUGUUCUAGGUGAUGAAAACUGACAGUAACCUAGGAGAAAGCCCCGGCUAACUCCGUG
rnacentral:rRNA from 1 species